rnacentral:rRNA from 1 species
UACGGAGGGAGCUAGCGUUGUUCGGAAUUACUGGGCGUAAAGCGCACGUAGGCGGCUUUUUAAGUCAGGGGUGAAAUCCCGGGGCUCAACCCCGGAACUGCCCUUGAAACUGGAGAGCUAGAAUCUUGGAGAGGCGAGUGGAAUUCCGAGUGUAGAGGUGAAAUUCGUAGAUAUUCGGAAGAACACCAGUGGCAAAGGCGACUCGCUGGACAAGUAUUGACGCUGAGGUGCGAAAGCGUGGGGAGCAAACAGG